rnacentral:rRNA from 1 species
AACGAACGCUGGCGGCAUGCCCAACACAUGCAAGUCGAACGAGACCUUCGGGUCUAGUGGCGCACGGGUGCGUAACGCGUGGGAAUCUACCCUUGGGUUCGGAAUAACAGUUAGAAAUGACUGCUAAUACCGGAUGGUGACGUAAGUCCAAAGAUUUAUCGCCCAAGGAUGAGCCCGCGUAAGAUUAGCUUGUUGGUGGGGUAAUGGCCUACCAAGGCGACGAUCUUUAGCUGGUCUGAGAGGAUGAUCAGCCACACUGGGACUGAGACACGGCCCAGACUCCUACGGGAGGCAGCAGUGGGGAAUAUUGGACAAUGGGCGAAAGCCUGAUCCAGCAAUGCCGCGUGAGUGAUGAAGGCCUUAGGGUUGUGAAGCUCUUUUACCAGGGAUGAUAAUGACAGUACCUGGAGAAUAAGCUCCGGCUAACUCCGUGCCAGCCGCCGCCGUAA